rnacentral:rRNA from 1 species
GAUGAACGCUGGCGGCGUGCCUAAUACAUGCAAGUCGAGCGAACAGACGAGGAGCUUGCUCCUCUGACGUUAGCGGCGGACGGGCGAGUAACACGUGGAUAACCUACCUAUAAGACUGGGAUAACUUCGGGAAACCGGAGCUACUACCGGAUAAUAUAUUGAACCGCAUGGUUCAAUAGUGAAAGACGGUUUUGCUGUCACUUAUAGAUGGAUCCGCGUCGCAUUAGCUAGUUGGUAAGGUAACGGCUUACCAAGGCAACGAUGCGUAGCCGAUCUGAGAGGAUGAUCAGCCACACUGGAACUGAGACACGGUCCAGACUCCUACGGGAGGCAGCAGUAGGGAAUCUUCCGCAAUGGGCGAAAGCCUGACGGAGCAACGCCGCGUGAGUGAUGAAGGUCUUCGGAUCGUAAAACUCUGUUAUUAGGGAAGAACAAAUGUGUAAGUAACUAUGCACGUCUUGACGGUACCUAAUCAGAAAGCCACGGCUAACUACGUG